rnacentral:tRNA from 1 species
GGGGGUAUAGCUCAAUGGUAGAUAAUUCGACUGCAGAUCGAGAAGUCUCCGGUUCAAACCCGGGUGCCCCUU